GGAAAGGUGGCCGAGUGGCUUAAGGCGCACGCUUGGAAAGCGUGUAUACGUAAACGUAUCGGGGGUUCGAAUCCCUUCCUUUCCGCAA
rnacentral:tRNA from 1 species